ensembl:snRNA U6 U6 spliceosomal RNA
UUAGGACUCUUCUUAAAACUAACUAGAAUCCAUCAGAGAAGAUUUACAUGGUCCCUGUGUAAAGAUGACAUGUAAAUUCAUCAGGUGUUCCCUAUUCAA